rnacentral:antisense_RNA from 1 species
GGAGCUGGAAAGGUGGAGGCGGAAGUGACUGAUCAAUUCAGGGGUGUGGGGUUCGUUUAGGUUUUGCCCUGUGUAUGACCUCUUUUGGAGCCAUGAAACCAGGUCUGUGAAAUUUCGUGUCUAUUUUCUACCAUAGCACAUGUUAAUUUGGACUAACCACAUUUCAAGUGCUCAGUAGCCACAUGUGGCUAGCGACUACUAUCUUAAGCAAUGCAACGAUAAGUCUGCACUUACGUUCAAAAAGACUUAAAGCAGGGAUCCACAACCCCCAGGCCACAGACUGGUACGGAUCCAUGGCCUGUUAAGAACUGUGCCACACAGCAGGAGGUCACCAUGUGUGAUGACUACAUCCAAAGAGAGUGAGUGGCUUGAGACAUUGGUAGUAUGUGUAUCUGAUCAUAUCAAUAUGUUAAAAUGACGUUCAGAGUAUGAUCUACCUCAAAAUAAUCUAGCCUCAAGCUUUAUUCUAGGGAGGUAAUUCUGAAGAUACCUAUCUUCUUGAGAGUGAAAUUUUAUGGAAUCCUAGAUUUCUCAUACCUAGGAAUAACAAUACAAGGGACAGAAGAGUUAGCAGUGUUCCUGCUGAAAGGUCCAAGUAUCUCCCUAGGCACGGAAAACACCCAA